rnacentral:rRNA from 1 species
UACGUAGGGGGCAAGCGUUGUCCGGAAUCAUUGGGCGUAAAGCGCGUGUAGGCGGUUCGAUAAGUCUGCUGUGAAAGUCCAGGGCUCAACCCUGGGAUGCCGGUGGAUACUGUCGGACUAGAGUGCGGAAGAGGCGAGUGGAAUUCCCGGUGUAGCGGUGAAAUGCGCAGAUAUCGGGAGGAACACCAAUUGCGAAGGCAGCUCGCUGGGACGUUACUGACGCUGAGACGCGAAAGCGUGGGGAGCGAACAGG